GUGGUGAUCCACAUAAGGCCGCC
rnacentral:siRNA from 1 species